rnacentral:rRNA from 1 species
UACGGGGGGAGCAAGCGUUGUUCGGAUUUACUGGGCGUAAAGGGCUCGUAGGCGGCCAACUAAGUCAGACGUGAAAUCCCCAGGCUCAACCUGGGAACUGCGUCUGAUACUGGAUGGCUUGAAUCCGGGAGAGGGAUGCAGAAUUCCAGGUGUAGCGGUGAAAUGCGUAGAUAUCUGGAGGAAUACCGGUGGCGAAGGCGGCAUCCUGGACCGGCAUUGACGCUGAGGAGCGAAAGCUAGGGGAGCAAACGGG